UGAUGGUUUUAUAAGGGACUUUCCCCGCUUUGCUUGGCACUCAUUCUCUCUUUUGCCACUCUGUGAAGAGGUGCCUUCUGCCAUGAUUGUGUUCCUGAGGCCUCUCCAGCCAUGUGGAACUGUGAGUCAAUUAAACCUCUUUUCUUUAUAAAUUACCCAGUCUUGGGUAUUUCUUCAUAGCAGCGUGAGAAUGGACUAAUACACCUGGUAAGAAUCUGUCCACAGACUUCCACAUUUGCUCCUUUAGAAUGGGAGUCCUCAGUAUUUCUUUUUUAUUAUUUUUAUUAUUUUUGUGAUCAUCCAGCCCAAAAUGUCAGUCUCAAUGUUUUUGUUGUUGUUGUUGUUGUUAUUGUUGUUUGUCUUUUUUGUUUUGUUUUAUUUUGAGACGGAGUCUCUCUCUGUCGCCCAGGCUGGAGUGCAGUGGCGUGAUCUCGGCUCACCAAAAGCUCCACCUCCCAGUAGAGACGGGGUUUCACUGUGUUAGCCAGGAUGGUCUCGAUCUCCCGACCUCGUGAUCCUCCCGCCUCGGCCUCCCAAAAUGCUGGGAUUACAGGCAUGAGCCACCAAGCCUGGCCUCAGUCCCAGUGUUUUUGAUUGGACAAUGGGGUUAAAAAAAAUUGAGCAUGCAUUCCAAAUGUGUGUGUAUUUGUUAUUCAUGCAUCCUCUGCAUACUUAUGCAUACCAUUAUUCUAAUAUAUUUGCAUACAUUAUAAAAACAUACCAUAAGAAAUAAUAAACUUUAAAGAAAAACUAAACAGGAUAUCUCUCCCUCCUCAGUGGUGCAUCCUGCCUUACCCCUCAGUCACAGGUGGCCCCAGGGAGACCACUCCCUGAGAACCCAUGUUUUCAGCCUAACUGGCUCCUUCCUCAGCAGACUCACACUGUGGCAGUCUCCCCUCAUCUCCACCAGUUUUGUUUCUCAAUAUUACUUUGCUCAUCUCAAAGGUUACCUAGAUUUAAGGGCCCUCUUAAAUUCU
rnacentral:lncRNA from 1 species